CGGUGUUCAACUGGCGUGUCCGCGGGACGUCCUGCCGGUGGGCUUAGCCCGCAAGGGCGGCCCAACUUCAAAUCCCAUCGCGGUGCUCUUCACUGAGUGUCGAGGUGGGCCGGCACGUUUACUUUGAACAAAUUAGAGUGCUUAAAGCAGGCUAAAACUUCCCCUGAAUACUGUGUGCAUGGAAUAAUGGAAUAGGACCUCGGUUCUAUUUUGUUGGUUUUCGGAACCCCGAGGUAAUGAUUAAUAGGAACGGAUGGGGGCAUUCGUAUUGCGACGUUAGAGGUGAAAUUCUUGGAUCGUCGCAAGACGGACAGAAGCGAAAGCAUUUGCCAAAAACGCUUUCAUUGAUCAAGAACGAAAGUUAGAGGUUCGAAGGCGAUCAGAUACCGCCCUAGUUCUAACCAUAAACGAUGCCAGCUAGCGAUCCGUCGACGUUCCUCCGAUGACUCGACGGGCAGCUUCCGGGAAACCAAAGCUUUUGGGUUCCGGGGGAAGUAUGGUUGCAAAGCUGAAACUUAAAGGAAUUGACGGAAGGGCACCACCAGGAGUGGAGCCUGCGGCUUAAUUUGACUCAACACGGGAAACCUCACCAGGCCCGGACACCGGAAGGAUUGACAGAUUGAGAGCUCUUUCUUGAUUCGGUGGGUGGUGGUGCAUGGCCCGUUCUUAGUUGGUGGAGCGAUUUGUCUGGUUAAUUCCGAUAACGAACGAGACUCUAGCCUGCUAACUAGGCGUAUUUUCGACAUCUCAAAGGUCCGUCGUCCCGGCCCUCGGGUCGUGGGCGUGCGCGAUUUUUACUGUCGGCGUACUAUCAAUUCUUCUUAGAGGGACAGGUGGCUUCUAGCCGCACGAGAUUGAGCAAUAACAGGUCUGUGAUG
rnacentral:rRNA from 1 species